CUUCCCGGGACCGGACCCCCGCCGCGCCUGGGGCGCCCCCGUGGACCCCAGGAGCCCAGCUCCUGUCUGCCCAGUGCGAGUGCGCCCGAGCUUUGACUUUUAGGGACUCCCUUCCCCCAACCUCGCAGAGACUUUCCUUGGCUCCCCCGCCCCCCGUCCCGUCGCUCCGACGUGGCUGCUGGGGGCGGGGGGGGGCGGGGGGAGCGGUAUAAAGGAUGAGAGGCAGCCCGGGCCGGGACCCGAGACGUGGCGCGUCCACUCCGAUGGCCUCCGCUCCAGCCACACGACUAGAGGAGAGGAGCUGGGCGGGCCCUGCAGAGAUGGUCACCCUUGAGGCAGGAGAUCACGACGCUGCUGUGGGUCCCAAGGGACCGAAAGGGAAGCCUUGCUGUCUGUGAUGCUUGCGACGCUCUGAGAUUGUAUGACUAUCUUGAGACACCUGGGCUGAGAAAUGGUGGCUCGAGACCUUUAGGACCUCAGUGGACUUUCCUACCAGUGAGCUGGGGACACGUGACAGUCACCAUCCCCAAGUGUGCUCUUUGCAACCCUGCUUUCCUUCUUUCAGAUCCGUGUCAUUUAACUUUUUUUUUUUUUGGUCUUUUUAGGGCCGCAUCCACAGCAUAUGGAGGUUCCCAGGCUCGGGGUGGAAUCAGAGCUGCAGCUGCCAGCCUAUCCCACAGCCACAGCAACUCGGGAUCUGAGCCAUGUCUGUGAUCUACACCACAGCUCCCAGUAACGCCAGAUCCUUAACCCACUGAGCAAGGCCAGGGAGCAAACCUGCACCCUCAUGAGUGCUAGUCAGAUUCGUCUCUGCUGAGCCAUGACGGGAAGUCUGCGUCUUUAAAAAACUGCUAGAUCAUCUGAUCAACGUCAUCAGUUUUUUUUUCUUAAAAUGGCCAAACAUUGGUAAAAAGAUAUGCCAUUGUACACAUCACUGAAAUUGCCUAGUGCUAUUUUUUGUUUACAGGUUUUAUGUAUUCGAAAGACCAAUGAUUAUGGCUGCAGGUGACACUGUCCCCCAAGUUUUGACAGAUGAAGAAUCACCAUGAAGGGAGAGUUCUGGGACCCAUCAGCUCCUGCUCACAUCCCUAGAGCUUCACCAGAAACUCUUUAGGGUUUUUUAACACCCAAGAACUGUUCACUCCCAUUUCAGGGUAGCAGCUCACUACUCUCCUGGCAGUGGUCAGCAGACCAAUUUUGAUCAAAAAGAACAGCCCAGGGAGUUCCCAUUGUAGCUCAGCAGUAAUGAACCCAACUAGUACCCAUGAGGUUGCGGGUUCGAUCCCUGGUCUCAUUUAGUGGGUCUGGGAUCCGGCGUUGCUGGGAGCUGUGAUGUAGGUCACAGACGUGGCUCGGAUCCCACAUUGCUCUGACUGUGGUGUAGGCCAGCAGCUACAGCUCUGAUCCUACCCCUAGUCCGGGAACUUCCAUAUGCCUCAGGUGUGGCCCUAAAAAGCAAAACAACAACAACAACAACAAAACCAGCCCAGAAACUAGGACAGAAUAGAAAGAAGACAGUCAUGGCACAUCCGUAAGUGAGCGUAAAAGGGCAUGGAACAAAGUACAGGUAGUGGGCCUUACAUGGAAGGACCAGCUCAACCACACUGCCACCAGCCCUGUGCCAGUCUGUGCGCUGGACACUCUGCCAUGGCCCCUUCUCUGAAGUCUGAGUUUCCAUGCCAGCCGAGCCAGGGCCUGCCUCAAGCCUCCCCGGUCUGGUCAAGGGGACAUUUUGCCACUGCCCAUUCUUCCGUGCAGGUUGGCACAUUGCGACCUGGCCCUCACCCCAUCCAGGUGAACUCUCCUCACCUUCGAGCAUGGUUGACCUCACCCCACAGGUGAAAACCACCUUCCUUGACUUCACAGCCACAUUCAAGGGAGCAGCCUGCCAUGAAUCUACCCACUGGGAAUCACAGAAAAAAAACUCAAGGAUACAGCAGCCUGAACAUAUAUUCAAUAGGAAAUGCGCACAUAUUUUUUUUUUUUACUUCGAAAAGCUCAGGAAUUCAUCUCACUUUUAAUAAGGGUCUGUUAAUAAAAGAAAUUGUAUACUCCUUCAGCCCUGUACCAGAAGGCCAAAGUAUUCUAGAAAUCUGGAAGUAUUUUUCCUUGUGUUUAUGGUUAAAUUUCUACAUAUAUUUUUCUAGCAGCCCAGUUGCCUUAAAAUAAAGUCAGUGUGCUCAAAAUA